rnacentral:rRNA from 1 species
CCCCUAGAUGUUCUGGGCCGCACGCGCGCUACACUGAACAGUUCAACAAGUCUUAACCUUGGCCGAUAGGUCUGGGUAAUCUUUGAACGCUGUUCGUGAUUGGGAUAGACCUUUGCAAUUAUGGGUCUUCAACGAGGAAUUCCUAGUAAACGCAAGUCAUCAGCUUGCAUUGAUUACGUCCCUGCCCUUUGUACACACCGCCCGUCGCACCUACCGAUUGAAUGGUCCGGUGAAAUCUCGGGACGGCGGCUUGGUCGCUUGCGUCCGACUGCUGAAACUUGAUUAAACCAUNUNAUUCAGNGGAAGGUGAANUCGUANCA